rnacentral:piRNA from 1 species
GAUGGUUGUAGAGUCAGAGCUUCCUC